rnacentral:rRNA from 1 species
CCUACGGGCGGCAGCAGUGGGGAAUAUUGGACAAUGGGGGCAACCCUGAUCCAGCCAUGCCGCGUGUGUGAAGAAGGCCCUCGGGUUGUAAAGCACUUUCAGUGAGGAAGAACGCCUGGUGGUUAAUACCCAUCAGGAAAGACAUCACUCACAGAAGAAGCACCGGCUAACUCCGUGCCAGCAGCCGCGGUAAUACGGAGGGUGCGAGCGUUAAUCGGAAUUACUGGGCGUAAAGCGCGCGUAGGUGGCUUGAUAAGCUGGUUGUGAAAGCCCCGGGCUCAACCUGGGAACGGCAUCCGGAACUGUCAAGCUAGAGUGCAGGAGAGGAAGGUAGAAUUCCCGGUGUAGCGGUGAAAUGCGUAGAGAUCGGGAGGAAUACCAGUGGCGAAGGCGGCCUUCUGGACUGACACUGACACUGAGGUGCGAAAGCGUGGGUAGCAAACAGGAUUAGAUACCCGGGUAGUC